ACGACCGGCGCACGGGUGAGUAACGCGUAUGCAACCUACCUACUACAGGGGAAUAGCCCGAAGAAAUUCGGAUUAAUGCCGCAUAAUACAGGGGCACCGCAUGGUGAUAUUUGUUAAAGAUUAAUUGGUAGUAGAUGGGCAUGCGUUCCAUUAGCCAGUUGGUGAGGUAACGGCUCACCAAAGCAACGAUGGAUAGGGGAACUGAGAGGUUUAUCCCCCACACUGGUACUGAGACACGGACCAGACUCCUACGGGAGGCAGCAGUGAGGAAUAUUGGUCAAUGGGCGAGAGCCUGAACCAGCCAAGUCGCGUGAAGGAUGACUGCCCUAUGGGUUGUAAACUUCUUUUGUACUGGGGUAAAAAAGAGGACGUGUCCUUUCUUGCAAGUACAGUACGAAUAAGCAUCGGCUAACUCCGUGCCAGCAGCCGCGGUAAUACGGAGGAUGCGAGCGUUAUCCGGAUUUAUUGGGUUUAAAGGGUGCGUAGGCGGGGAUUUAAGUCAGCGGUGA
rnacentral:rRNA from 1 species